UAGUAGGAUUGAUAGUUAGCAAAACUGAUCUGAAGUCAUCAAUUGAGAGGCUCUGGGUUUUCACAUAACCUUCAUUUUUUCAAGAUACUUUCCUCAGUUUAUAUGGACCCACUUGCUCCUCAGACAGCUCAGCUGAAAUUGUCCCGGGUUUCCCAAAAUAAAAGAGCUUUUUUUGUGUGUUCGUGGGAAUUUCGAUAUUCUUCCCAAAACUAAAGGGCAGGGGGUUAUUUGAGCUGAGAAGCAUUGAAGGGAGCAGAGGCUGUAGAUGUUAAAUGGAACUUGCAGAAGUAAUUUGGGUGAGAUGUGGCACUGACUAGCAAAGCUCUCUUAGGAAACCACUCAGGCCUUCUGCUAGGCAUUACACAUUCCCAAUUUUAUAAACUUUGCUGGAAUCAUGCUAGCAAAGUGAAAUACAUUUCCAGGCAUAACCCAGCAGAUUCCAUUUUAAUGGCUGCUGCAGAUCUCUGCUUGUGGAGUUGAACAUUGGAGCCUGGGGCUGGAGCUGGGAACUGCAAGUGUCCAACCUGGAGAGGCUUCCUGCUCUCUUAAAGGCAGUCUGGAAAAAAAAAAAGAUAAAUGCUGUGUUUACUCUGCUAUUUCUAUCAUAGAAGGAUAAAGAAGGAAAGUGGAAUAGAACAAGCCAAAAGCAGAAGGGAGUAGGAUUAGGAAUAGGGAGGUGUUAAUUGCUCCCUGUCUCUUUGGGAUGGAUGGAGUGAGUCUGUUGUCCAUAAAUUUCACAGUGUCACAGCACCCUAGUAAUAAACUCCAUCUCAGGCAGUAAGACAAAUGGAUCUGAGGAAUACUGUAAUACUUCCUUGGCUUCAGACCAAUGUUUUGAGUAGAUUUGUAUUUUCCAGUGUUUCACUGACAGGGCUGGAGGGGACAGCUCCUGGGUGGGGAAAGGCCAAAUCCCCAUCUGCCCUGAGUUCAUGAGUGACGCGGGAUGGGAAAGGUUGGCAGAGAGGUGGAUUGGAGCCAGUUCCUCCUGCUGUUGGUUUUGAAGUGAUGGGAGCUUAGUGUGGGUGCUUGGCAGGGGCUGGAUUCAGGUCUGUGGUCUGUGAUUUGGCUCUCCUUGACCAGCCAAGAGCAUCCUGUGACUUUUGCCUGGAUGGGUUGGUGGCCAGUGUGACACUGACACUGCAGGUGGUGCUUGGCCCUGGGCAAGCAUUUGCCAAGAUCUUCCCCUUGGAUUCACCCUAUGACUUCAAUCAACCUCAGAUAGCUACCUGGCAAACAGGAAGGUUGAACAGGUAGGAGGCACAAGGGGCAUGGCUGCAGACCCCAUCAGUCACCAUAAAUUCCUUUGUGUGGCAUUGUGAUGGUUGAUCACAGCCUGCCAUAUCCCGACUCAUUCGGGGUGAAAUGGGAUCAUUCCUGUGCAGCAUGAAGGUCACUUGGCCUUGGCUGUUAUCCAGAGGAUUUUGCUGUUCAUGGCCUUGCUGUUCAUGAUAAUCUUGGUGCUGUGGAAGGCACAGGGAGCUGAGGGGUCUGCAGAAGUAUUUACACUGCUGUGCUUGGAAUGAGGAGCAACACUACCAGACACAUAAUUCAUUCCUAAUAUUACACUAUGAAGCUUUUUGCUGCUUGUCUCCCUGUGGAUGUAAUUAGUCGUGGGAGCUCUUUUUUAAAAGUAAUUACACCAUUAAGCAUACUUUGGCUUCAAUAACAAAAAUGCAUGGUUGGGCUCCAUAAUUACACCUCUUAAUGACGUUACAUAAUUGUACGUAAGAGUCUGUGAAGCAAACAAUGCUUGGGCUCCCUCUGACUCGCUGCUGCUUUGAUCUCCAAAACAGUUGCUGGGAGUGGAAACUCUGCAUCCCUCAUCCUGGUGAGUUGUGCUUGGACAAGCUGUUUUCUUCCCAGAUCCACUUCCACUCAGUGUGAAAAGCCACUCGUGUUCAUAACUAAGAAAUCUAAACCAAACAACAUGAGCCUGGAGCUGCCCAAGUGGCUCACUUCCUCUGGGUUUCUAAAAAUGUACGUGUCCAUGAGGCAUGUUUUUGUUCCUGUUUCUUCUAUACACAACAUUGCGGAAGCUUUAAGUAAAAUCUGUCCCUAAAUAGGCAUCCCCGGGAUGUGCAGCUGCCAAAACAAAAAUCAGGCAACCAUACUGAUCUCCUGCCCUGAAAAUAAUCCAUCCUGUUAUCUGUUUCUAUAAUCUCUUCUAUUUCGUUUCCUUGACACUUUUUUUAAGGAAUAUUGUGCUUGGCCAGUUUAUUACUUGCUCUUUGGGAGGCUGAAGCUGCUUCUAUAGUAGGUCAAGAUUUAUGACAAUGCCCAUGUGAGCACUGUGCCAGGUAAAUUUUCCAGCUGUAGGUAGGCUGGAGGAUUGGACUUCCUUUGGACUGUCAGCCAAGGUUUAAAUCAGUUUUGUCUUCCUUGGUGGUAUAUCCUGGUUCUCUUGCAAUUUCUCUGAUACCUUUUUGGGAAACAGUGCAAUAAGGAUUGUAUCUGGACUCGUGCAAUUAAAUUACAGAUAAUUCUAUGAAAAAGCAAAGCUGGAAGUAAAACUUUGAAACAGCAGCAUCAGCUAUUGCAUUUCCAGGAUCUGUCUGUGAGAGCACUAAGUGAACUGUUGAGGAACUUCUAAAUUAGUCAAUUUUAUCUCCUUGUAAAACCACCUGAUUCCUUUUUCUAAAAUAGGUUACUCUGCAGUUAGGCAUUGUGUAAUCAUCUGUUCUUCUCAUGCAUGAGCAAAAUAAAUAUCUGCUUACACAGGAUCACCCUUUUUAUUUGGAAAAGAAAAUAAAAUCCACCACUACUGUUUCAAAGUCUUUGUAACUCGUCUGCAACACAAUACAGUUGUCUUAAAAAAAUUAAAAUACUCUUUUUCAAUUUUCAAGAAAGUAUUCUAGGUAGAAAUGCUCAAUUUUGAAACAGAUGUUUCCUGAAAACUAUUUUCUAAUCUCAUCAUGGAAAGGGUAACACUGCAUGCCUCACAUCUCAUAAAAAAGCACACAGUAAGGGACUUUUAUAGGGUGAGGAGACACCAGCUCUGAAUUUAGAGCCAUUCUAAUAUUAUUCAUUGUAAUGUUUUCUCCAUUUGAAUGUUUAUGGUUGGUUUGGUAGCCUCUUUGUUCUCUAUCUGAUUCUCUGAAAUUGCUUGCAGAAUAGUAGUUUGUUAAAGACUGCUGCAUGUCUGGCAGCAGUCAAUGGUUGUGCAGACAGAAGUUGAUCUCUGCCAUCAAAUAAAACAUAGACAAGAAGUUUCUUCUGUUCAGAGGAGAGUAUGAAGGGCACAGGUGAGGCUGUGCCAGCCCAGCUGGUGCCCUUUAAAGUGCUGGUGUAGUAAACACAGCU